rnacentral:rRNA from 1 species
AACGAACGCUGGCGGCAUGCCUAACACAUGCAAGUCGAACGAGACCUUCGGGUCUAGUGGCGCACGGGUGCGUAACGCGUGGGAACCUGCCCUUAGGUUCGGAAUAACUCCCCGAAAGGGGUGCUAAUACCGGAUAAUGCCUUCGGACCAAAGAUUUAUCGCCUUUGGAUGGGCCCGCGUUGGAUUAGCUAGUUGGUAGGGUAAAAGCCUACCAAGGCGACGAUCCAUAGCUGGUCUGAGAGGAUGAUCAGCCACACUGGGACUGAGACACGGCCCAGACUCCUACGGGAGGCAGCAGUGGGGAAUAUUGGGCAAUGGGCGAAAGCCUGAUCCAGCAAUGCCGCGUGAGUGAUGAAGGCCUUAGGGUUGUAAAGCUCUUUUACCCGGGAUGAUAAUGACAGUACCGGGAGAAUAAGCUCCGGCUAACUCCGUG